AGUUAAACAGUACGUGAAAUUGUUGAAAGGGAAACGAUUGAAGCCAGUCGUACCUUCGGGUAAUCAGCCUUUCGGGUGCGAUUCUGUGAGGUGUGAGGAGUUAAACGCCUUCAUGUUUUGCAUAUUCGUGCUCUUGGGUGUACUUGCCCGUGUGGUUGGUUAACAUCAAUUUUGGACGCCAUAAAAUGACUGGAGGAAUGUAGCUUCGAUCUCGUAUUGAAGUGUUAUAGCCUUUGGUAGAUGUGGUUUUCGAGAUUGAGGAUUGCAACGUAUACCCUUCGGGGCUACCUAUCUGAUCUCUGAUCGUUGCUCUGGUGCCGAAAGCUUGCUUACGGAUAUCAAAGUCGAUGGUCAAUAGGUUAGAAUAGGUUAAAUUCGUUAAGGAUGUUGACGUAAUGGCUUUAAA
rnacentral:misc_RNA from 1 species